ensembl:lncRNA
CACACACUACAAGUAAUAAAGGUUGGUGGAAGCCAGCAUGUCAGUGGAAGAGUCUGAGUGGUAGUUUUGAGAAAGACCAGAGUCAGAAUGUACCUCAGUACGGCAAUCUGCGGCUGUUUCAGGAAAACACAGAGUGGCCUGCGGAGUGAAUCAACCCAUGAAACAUAAGUAGCAACAACAACAGUGACAUUGGGUGAACUCUAUAAGAUCAUCCACGAUGGCUUUGCACCUGGAAUGAGUCUGAGGCUUGCUCAUAAUGCAGCAUAAAAGCCUGUGAUUACUAUGUUUGGAGGUGUGCAGUUACAAAACAAGGAAACCUUGAAUGCUGGGAGACACUGGGACUCUGGAAGUGGACUUAAGGAACCUAAAGAUGAGUGACACCACACUAACUGAGCUACAGUAUAAUCACCAGUGUUAGCAACAUACAGCUGACGUAUGUAUAAUGUCCAAAUAGAUUUGUAUUCAUAUGGUUAGUGACAGUAAGUCAGUAAUGCUGAAGUGAACUGUUGAAGCAUGACCCCCUUGGCCUCUUGGUUAUUCUAGUCGGCACAUUUACAUUCAAAUAAAUAAGACUCAGAGUUCAGAGAGAUGGCUUUGCUGUUGUUGAUGCUGCUGCCUUUUUUCCCCUCUAGAGGCAAAAACCUUGAUAAUUGGUCAUAAGGGAGAGAGUUGACCUUUGCUAAGGCAAAUGACUUUGCAGGUCCCUGUGCAACUCGACACAAUGUCCGAUGCCAUCUGCUGUGUUUAUCCCUGUGUGUGUGUUUGUGUGUGUGUGUGUGUGUAAACAUUCAGCAAAUUAGGAGCAGUAUACAUGUCAGCAGUUAUAUUGCCACUAGACCGCUAAAAUGGUUCUCUAAGGCCCCAAAGCACAGAACGUCAAGAGUGAUGGAGUGGAUAAGUGGGCCAGAAGGUCUACUGAGUGCAACAGAUCAAGCUGACCAAGAACUUCACUAAUUGAGCCACAGUGGAAACAGGAG